rnacentral:RNase_P_RNA from 1 species
CGAGUCUCCUAGGUGAUCGCUGGUCGGGGCAGCCCGGCCAGAGGAAAGUCCGAACUCCACAGGGCAAGGUGCUGGGUAACUCCCAGGGGGCGCGAGCCCACGGAAAGUGCAACAGAGAGCAGACCGCCAACGGGCGACCGGUUCGCCGGCCGCUGCGGGCAAGGGUGAAACGGUGCGGUAAGAGCGCACCAGCGACCUCAGUGACGGGGUCGGCUCGGUAAACCCCACCUGGAGCAAGACCGCAUAGAGGGGAAGGAGUGUGUCCCGCUCCGUCAUCACCCCGGGGUCGGUCGCACCGAGGCGCACCGGAUACGGGCGCCCCAGACAAAUGAUCGCCACGGAGCAAUCCGACAGAAUUCGGCUUAUAGGAGGCUCGGCUC